rnacentral:rRNA from 1 species
CCUACGGGAGGCAGCAGUGAGGAAUAUUGGUCAAUGGGCGGGAGCCUGAACCAGCCAAGUCGCGUGAGGGAAGACGGUCCUAUGGAUUGUAAACCUCUUUAGGCGGGGAGCAAUGCCGGGCACGUGUGCCCGGAGGGAGAGUACCCGCAGAAUAAGCAUCGGCUAACUCCGUGCCAGCAGCCGCGGUAAUACGGGGGAUGCGAGCGUUAUCGGGAUUUAUUGGGUUUAAAGGGUGCGUAGGCGGAUUUUGAAGUCAGCGGUAAAAUGUCCGGGCUCAACCCGGGCCGGCCGUUGAAACUGGGGAUCUGGAGGGGGCGAGAAGUAGGCGGAAUGCGUGGUGUAGCGGUGAAAUGCGUAGAUAUCAGGAAGAACUCCGGUGGCGAAGGCAGCAUACGGGCGCCCGACUGACGCUGAGGCACGAAAGCGUGGGGAGCGAACAGGAUUAGAUACCCUGGUAGUC